rnacentral:lncRNA from 1 species
GAUCCCAUUCAUCAAACAUAUGUAUCGGUGUAUGGCUGUAUAAAUGAAUGCUUAUGAUUGAUGAUGUGUAUGAUCAUAUGGUGUAUAUAAUAUAAAGAAUAAUUUAUCUUUAAAUAGGGCCUCCGGUUAUUUAGCUCCUUGCUACAACAGUUACGUGAUAAAGUUUCUUUGACGUUUUAUGUGAUAAUGAUACUUGAGAGGGAUACAAUUCACAAGCAACCCAGA